rnacentral:rRNA from 1 species
UACGUAGGGGGGCAAGCGUUGUCCGGAUUUAUUGGGCGUAAAGAGCGUGUAGGCGGCCUUACAGGUCAGCUGUGAAAACUCGAGGCUCAACCUCGAGACGUCGGUUGAAACCGUAUGGCUAGAGUCCGGAAGAGGAGAGUGGAAUUCCCGGUGUAGCGGUGAAAUGCGCAGAUAUCAGGAGGAACACCGGUGGCGAAGGCGGAUCUCUGGGCCUGUUCUGACGCUGAGGCGCGAAAGCUAGGGGGAGCGAACAGG